UUGGUUAAGUUAGAAAGGGCGCACGGUGGAUGCCUUGGCACUAGGAGCCGAAGAAGGACGGGACUAACACCGAUAUGCUUUGGGGAGCUGUACGUAAGCGUUGAUCCAGAGAUUUCCGAAUGGGGGAACCCACUAUCUUUAGUCGGAUAGUAUCCUUACGUGAAUACAUAGCGUGAGGAAGGCAGACCCAGGGAACUGAAACAUCUAAGUACCUGGAGGAAGAGAAAGAAAAAUCGAUUUCCUGAGUAGCGGCGAGCGAAACGGAAAGAGCCCAAACCAAGAAGCUUGCUUCUUGGGGUUGUAGGACACUCUAUACGGAGUUACAAAAGAAAGUUAUAAAUGAAGCGGUCUGGAAAGGCCCGCCAAAGACGGUAACAGCCCGGUAGUUGAAAUGGCUUUCCCUCCAGAGUGGAUCCUGAGUACGGCGGAACACGUGAAAUUCCGUCGGAAUCCGGGAGGACCAUCUCCCAAGGCUAAAUACUCCCUAGUGACCGAUAGUGAACCAGUACCGUGAGGGAAAGGUGAAAAGCACCCCGGAAGGGGAGUGAAACAGUUCCUGAAACCGUGUGCCUACAAGUAGUUAGAGCCCGUUAAUGGGUGAUAGCGUGCCUUUUGUAGAAUGAACCGGCGAGUUACGAUUUGUUGCAAGGUUAAGCGGAAAAAGCGGAGCCGUAGCGAAAGCGAGUCUGAAUAGGGCGCAUAAGUAACAGGUCGUAGACCCGAAACCAGGUGAUCUACCCAUGUCCAGGAUGAAGGUAAGGUAAUACUUACUGGAGGUCCGAACCCACGCACGUUGAAAAGUGCGGGGAUGAGGUGUGGGUAGCGGAGAAAUUCCAAUCGAACUUGGAGAUAGCUGGUUCUCUCCGAAAUAGCUUUAGGGCUAGCCUCGAGGUAAAGAGUCAUGGAGGUAGAGCACUGUUUGGACUAGGGGCCCUUCUCGGGUUACCGAAUUCAGAUAAACUCCGAAUGCCAUGUACUUAUACUCGGGAGUCAGACUGCGAGUGAUAAGAUCCGUAGUCGAAAGGGAAACAGCCCAGACCACCAGUUAAGGUCCCCAAAUAUAUGUUAAGUGGAAAAGGAUGUGGGGUUGCUUAGACAACCAGGAUGUUGGCUUAGAAGCAGCCACCAUUGAAAGAGUGCGUAAUAGCUCACUGGUCGAGUGACCCCGCGCCGAAAAUGUACCGGGGCUAAACAUAUUACCGAAACUGUGGAUGAACCUCUUUAGAGGUUCGUGGUAGGAGAGCGUUCUAAGGGCGGUGAAGUCAGACCGGAAGGACUGGUGGAGCGCUUAGAAGUGAGAAUGCCGGUAUGAGUAGCGAAAGAAGGGUGAGAAUCCCUUCCACCGAAUAUCUAAGGUUUCCUGAGGAAGGCUCGUCCGCUCAGGGUUAGUCGGGACCUAAGCCGAGGCCGAUAGGCGUAGGCGAUGGACAACAGGUAGAGAUUCCUGUACCAGUGCUAAUUGUUUAACCGAUGGGGUGACACAGAAGGAUAGGGAAUCGCACGAAUGGAAAUGUGCGUCCAAGCAGUGAGUGUGAGAAGUAGGCAAAUCCGCUUCUCGCGAAGCAUGAGCUGUGAUGGGGAAGGAAAUUAAGUACGGAAGUUCCUGAUUUCACGCUGUCAAGAAAAGCCUCUAGGAAGAGUAGUACUGCCCGUACCGCAAACCGACACAGGUAGAUGAGGAGAGAAUCCUAAGGUGAGCGAGAGAACUCUCGUUAAGGAACUCGGCAAAAUGACCCCGUAACUUCGGGAGAAGGGGUGCUCUAUUAGGGUGCAAGCCCGAGAGAGCCGCAGUGAAUAGGCCCAGGCGACUGUUUAGCAAAAACACAGGUCUCUGCAAAACCGUAAGGUGACGUAUAGGGGCUGACGCCUGCCCGGUGCUGGAAGGUUAAGAGGAGUGCUUAGCUUCGGCGAAGGUACGAAUUGAAGCCCCAGUAAACGGCGGCCGUAACUAUAACGGUCCUAAGGUAGCGAAAUUCCUUGUCGGGUAAGUUCCGACCCGCACGAAAGGCGCAACGAUCUGGGCACUGUCUCAACGAGAGACUCGGUGAAAUUAUAGUACCUGUGAAGAUGCAGGUUACCCGCGACAGGACGGAAAGACCCCGUGGAGCUUUACUGCAACCUGAUAUGGAAUGUUUGUACCGCUUGUACAGGAUAGGUAGGAGCCGAAGAGACGUGUGCGCUAGCAUACGAGGAGGCAAUGGUGGGAUACUACCCUGGCUGUAUGACCAUUCUA
rnacentral:rRNA from 1 species